GACGAACGCUGGCGGCGCGCCUAACACAUGCAAGUCGAACGGAGCUGAGAGAAGCUUGCUUUUCUUAGCUUAGUGGCGAACGGGUGAGUAACGCGUGAGUAACCUGCCCUGGAGUGGGGGACAACAGUUGGAAACGACUGCUAAUACCGCAUAAGCCCACGAUCCGGCAUCGGAUUGAGGGAAAAGGAUUUAUUCGCUUCAGGAUGGACUCGCGUCCAAUUAGCUAGUUGGUGAGGUAACGGCCCACCAAGGCAACGACUGGUAGCCGGACUGAGAGGUUGAACGGCCACAUUGGGACUUAGACACCGCCCAGACUCCUACGGGAGGCAGCAGUGGGGGAUAUUGCACAAUGGGGGAAACCCUGAUGCAGCGACGCCGCGUGGAGGAAGAAGGUUUUCGGAUUGUAAACUCCUGUCGUUAGGGACGAUAAUGACGGUACCUAACAAGAAAGCACCGGCUAACUACGUGC
rnacentral:rRNA from 1 species